UACAGAGGGGGCAAGCGUUGUUCGGAAUUACUGGGCGUAAAGUGUGCGCAGGCGGCCGCGCAAGUCGAGUGUGAAAUCCCCGAGCUUAACUUGGGAAUUGCGCUCGAAACUACGUGGCUGGAGUGUGGCAGAGGAAGGUGGAAUUCCACGUGUAGCGGUGAAAUGCGUAGAUAUCUGGAGGAAUACCGGUGGCGAAGGCGGCAUCCUGGACCGACAUUGACGCUGAGGAGCGAAAGCUAGGGGAGCAAACGGG
rnacentral:rRNA from 1 species